rnacentral:rRNA from 1 species
UACGUAGUGUGCGAGCGUUGUCCGGAAUUAUUGGGCGUAAAGAGCUCGUAGGCGGUUUGUCGCGUCGACUGUGAAAACCCGAGGCUUAACCUCGGGCCUGCAGUCGAUACGGGCAGACUAGAGUUCGGUAGGGGAGACUGGAAUUCCUGGUGUAGCGGUGGAAUGCGCAGAUAUCAGGAGGAACACCUAUGGCGAAGGCAGCUCGCUGGGACGGUACUGACGCUGAGGCACGAAGGCCAGGGGAGCAAACGGG